CUCAAAGACUAAGCCAUGCAUGUGCAAGUACACACCAUCCUAAGGUGAGACCGCGAAUGGCUCAUUAAAUCAGUUAUGGUUCAUUAGACGAGUUAAAUCCCACUUGGAUAACUGUGGUAAUUCUAGAGCUAAUACAUGACUUCAAGCUCUGACCGUUUAGGAAAGAGCGCUUUUAUUAGACCAAGACCAAUCGGACUUUGUCCGUUUCCUUUGGUGACUCUGAAUAACCUUUUGAAGAUCGCACGGUCUCGAACUGGCGACGCGUCUUUCAAAUGUCUGCCUUAUCAACUGUCGAUGGUAGGUUAUGUGCCUACCAUGGUUGUAACGGGUAACGGAGAAUCAGGGUUCGACUCCGGAGAGGGAGCCUGAGAAACGGCUGCCACAUCCAAGGAAGGCAGCAGGCACGCAAAUUACCCACUCCCGGCACGGGGAGGUAGUGACGAAAAAUAACGAUGCGGGACUCUUACGAGGCCCCGUAAUCGGAAUGAGUACACUUUAAAUCCUUUAACGAGGAUCAAUUGGAGGGCAAGUCUGGUGCCAGCAGCCGCGGUAAUUCCAGCUCCAAUAGCGUAUACUAAAGUUGUUGCGGCUAAAAAGCUCGUAGUUGGAUUUCAGUCGUAGGCCGGUGGUCCACCGCCCGGUGGCUACUGCCUGGCCUAGGCACCUUGCCGGCUCUCCUGCGAUGCUCUUGAUCGGGUGUCGUGGGUGGCCGGAACGUUUACUUUGAAAAAAUUAGAGUGCUCCAAGCAGGCGUUACAGCCUGAAUAACACAGCAUGGAAUAAUGGAACAGGACCUUGGUUCUGUUUUGUUGGUCUUCGGAAGCUAAGGUAAUGAUUAAUAGGGACGGACGGGGGCAUUCGUAUUGCGACGCUAGAGGUGAAAUUCUUGGACCGUCGCAAGACGAACUACUGCGAAAGCAUUUGCCAAGAACGCUUUCAUUAAUCAAGAACGAAAGUCAGAGGUUCGAAGGCGAUCAGAUACCGCCCUAGUUCUGACCAUAAACGAUGCCAACCAGCGAUCCGCUGGAGUUACUACCAUGACUCGGCGGGCAGCUUCCGGGAAACCAAAGUGUUUGGGUUCCGGGGGAAGUAUGGUUGCAAAGCUGAAACUUAAAGGAAUUGACGGAAGGGCACCACCAGGAGUGGAGCCUGCGGCUUAAUUUGACUCAACACGGGACACCUCACCCGGCCCGGACACCGGAAGGAUUGACAGACUGAGAGCUCUUUCUUGAUUCGGUGGGUGGUGGUGCAUGGCCGUUCUUAGUUGGUGGAGUGAUCUGUCUGGUUAAUUCCGAUA
rnacentral:rRNA from 1 species